UGAAGAUUUUUUUAAACUUCAUAAAAUUCCUCUAGUAAGUUAAAACCUAUAUAUGUAGAAGUAAUAGAUGGUUGACCUUGCAAUAUUACUCAUAACACCAUAUUACUAGAAAUAUCAUUUGAGGGCUAUAGUAACAAAAUAGUAUUCAAUAUUAUUUAAAUUCCAUCCAAUCUUAUUAUUCUAAGACUUUUGUGGUUAAAAAAUAUAAUCCAUCUAUAUAUUGGAAGUAUCAUAAGAUUAAAUUUCCUAUAGAAUUCUUUCAAACAAAAACUACUAAAAAGUCAUCAAUAACAAAGUCUUUAUUUUUAGAAGUAAUGACUUUUAUGAAGAUGGCUAAGAAAGAAAUGUCAUUUAUUAUUUAUACAAUUCUAGCUUAUGAAGAAGCAAGUUUGUUAGUAGCUACCUUAGAACACUAUAAGGAAUUUUAAGAUGUCUUCAAAAAGAAGAAUGUUGACAUAUUGCUAAAGCAUCAACCAUAUGAUUGUCCUAUCAAUCUUCAAGAAGAGGUUCAACUACCAUUUAGACCAAUCUAGGUAUAGGAUGUACAAUAUUUCCUUGAAUUUGGUAAUUUCUAUCUAAUGUUUAUCAAGAAUUAUUCCUAAGUUGCUCCUCCUGUCACUCAGUUGAUAUUUAAAGAUAAAUUA
rnacentral:lncRNA from 1 species